UUUGUUUGUUCAUUUAUUGUUCUCUCCAGAAGAAAGAGGUCCUCGACACAAACCAGCCAGUCUGGAGACGGACCAGACAACAGCGCUCAGAGCUCACCAGCGGAGCAGCAGGAAGAGCUUUGCUAUGCCAGCGUGAGCUUCUCUAGAAACCAGGAAGAUCUUCUCUACUCCAACAUCAGGCCAGCUCGGCCCCACAGACGCAAGGAGGAAGAGGAGGACGUGGAGUACACAAGGGUCAACUUUAAGAGUGCCAGUGCUGCCAACGAAUCAAGAUGUCAAGAAGCUGUGGGUCAUUUGUCUGCACUGUACAGCACAGUCAGCAAACAACCAAGAGUAUGAACACAUCACGGAUCUGUGCUCUGUUACUUUACAGUGUUUAAGCAGAUUAAACACACAUGGAUGAA